rnacentral:rRNA from 1 species
UAGUCCACGCCGUAAACGAUGGAUACUAGCUGUCUGGAACCUUGAGUUCUGGGCGGCCAAGCGAAAGUGAUAAGUAUCCCACCUGGGGAGUACGUUCGCAAGAAUGAAACUCAAAGGAAUUGACGGGGGCCCGCACAAGCGGUGGAGCAUGUGGUUUAAUUCGAUGAUACGCGAGGAACCUUACCAGGGCUUAAAUGUAUUCUGACAGCUUUAGAGAUAGAGUUUCCUUCGGGCAGAUUACAAGGUGCUGCAUGGUUGUCGUCAGCUCGUGCCGUGAGGUGUCAGGUUAAGUCCUAUAACGAGCGCAACCCCUGUUGUUAGUUGCCAUCGAGUAAUGUCGGGAACUCUAACAAGACUGCCGGUGCAAACCGUGAGGAAGGUGGGGAUGACGUCAAAUCAUCACGGCCCUUACGUCCUGGGCCACACACGUGCUACAAUGGUAGGUACAGAGAGCAGCCACGUCGCGAGGCGGAGCGGAAUCUAUAAAACCUAUCUCAGUUCGGAUCGG